GUGGGGAAUUUUGGACAAUGGGCGAAAGCCUGAUCCAGCCAUGCCGCGUGCAGGAUGAAGGCCUUCGGGUUGUAAACUGCUUUUGUACGGAACGAAAAGACUCUGGUUAAUACCUGGGGUCCAUGACGGUACCGUAAGAAUAAGCACCGGCUAACUACGUGCCAGCAGCCGCGGUAAUACGUAGGGUGCAAGCGUUAAUCGGAAUUACUGGGCGUAAAGCGUGCGCAGGCGGUUAUAUAAGACAGAUGUGAAAUCCCCGGGCUCAACCUGGGAACUGCAUUUGUGACUGUAUAGCUAGAGUACGGCAGAGGGGGAUGGAAUUCCGCGUGUAGCAGUGAAAUGCGUAGAUAUGCGGAGGAACACCGAUGGCGAAGGCAAUCCCCUGGACCUGUACUGACGCUCAUGCACGAAAGCGUGGGGAGCAAACAGGAUUAGAUACCCUUGUAGUCC
rnacentral:rRNA from 1 species